GACGAACCGUGCGAACGUUGUUCGGAAUCACUGGGCUUAAAGGGCGCGUAGGCGGCAGAUCAAGUCCGGGGUGAAAGCCCUCAGCUCAACUGGGGAAGUGCCUUGGAUACUGAUUUGCUCGAGGGAGGUAGGGGUCGAGGGAACUUCUGGUGGAGCGGUGAAAUGCGUUGAUAUCAGAAGGAACGCCGGUGGCGAAAGCGCUCGACUGGAUCUCUUCUGACGCUGAGGCGCGAAAGCUAGGGGAGCAAACGGG
rnacentral:rRNA from 1 species